AAAGUGCGAUAAGCAAUGCGAAUUGCAGAAUUCCGCGAAUCAUCAGAUCCUUGAACGCAACUGGCGCUAGGGGGCUCUCUCCCUAGCAUGUCUGUUUCAGUGUCUGAAAACAUCAUAUAAACUUAAUGUGAUUGACAAAGAAGAAGAUCUAUUAACUCUUCUUACUAAGUCUUUCAUGAAAGAUGUGCAUGUGGGUCUUUGGACUCCUCAUCGGAUUUUGGUCACUGUCUCCAGUGAUUUCGAUAGAGGAGUGUUUCUUUCUUUAAAGAAACUAACUCAAUUACCCGAAAUUACAUGCAAGAAUUAUUUUCAUCAUCAAACUCUGCAUCUGAAAUUAGGCAAGAUCACCCGCUGAACUUAA
rnacentral:misc_RNA from 1 species